AUACUUACCUGGCAAGGGAGACACCGUGAUCAAGAAGGCGGUUCACCCAGGGCGAGGCUCAGCUAUUGCACUCCGGCUGUGCUGACCCCUGCGAAUUUCCCAAAUGUGGAAUUCUCGAUUGCAUAAUUUCUGGUAGUGGGGGACUGCGUUCGCGCUCUCCCCUG
rnacentral:snRNA from 8 species